rnacentral:rRNA from 1 species
GUCCUAGCUGUAAACGAUGUUCACCAGAUGUGGGAGGUAUCGACCCCUCCCGUGUCGACGCUAACGCAUUAAGUGAACCGCCUGGGGAGUACGGCCGCAAGGUUGAAACUCAAAGGAAUUGACGGGGGGCCCCGCACAAGCGGUGGAGCAUGUGGUUUAAUUCGACGCAACGCGAAGAACCUUACCUGGGCUCGAACGGCUAGUAGUAGAAUUCUGGAAACAGAAGACGAACCGUAAAGUCGGUUGCUAGUCGAGGUGCUGCAUGGCUGUCGU